UCAACCUAGAUCCCUUGCAUGCGUAGUUCACAAUAGUGUUCGCAUGCCUAUGAAAAUCUAAUGCCCCUUGCAGGAGGCAGAGCUCAGGCAGUAAUGCAUGCUUGCCUGCUGCUCACCUCCUACUAUGCAGCCCGGUUCCUAUCAGGCCACAGACCAGUACCAGUCCACAGCCCAGGGGCUGGGGACCCCUGGGGUGUCUUCUGGCUCCUUUGCACUACCUAUGCCACCAGGCUUAGCAGCAGUCCUAGAAACAGGUGUAUCAAGAAGACUCUGCUCCUGGUGGGCUGGGGCUGAGAUGGCAGAGGCCCAUCCCAUCAUAUGCCAGAAAGAGGACACACUUGUGAGUCCAGGACUUGGGACUCUACAGUUUGCAGCUCUGCUCAGACUGGCUUCUGGGCAGCUCCUCACUUUGCCAUUAACUCCUCAGAGUCAAGCCCCAGAUGCCCCUUGGACCAGCCCCACUCCUAAGGUCAUCUGGUCAGGGUCUGCAGGGGUGACGCUUUCACUGACAAAAGGAUUUUAAUUUUGGUCCUAUCCCUAGUGUAGUCCCAGCCAGUCUUUGGUAGUCACCCACUUUUCCUGCUCUGACAGAGAUGGGCCAGCCCCUCCCAUAGGGGCUGCUCCCGGGAAAGGCUCAUCCACAGGCUAGGCCUCUGCCGGGCCUGCUGCCAGCCACUGAGCCUUUGGCGAUUGAGAGCUGACUCCCGACUGAGGUGUAGGCCUCCGUCCAGCCAGCACAAAGGGAGGCACAUCCCUUGCAGCAGUACCCACAGCCCCUGUCACGGCAGGCUGUGGCCAGACCCUGAUUGAGUGGCUCCCUCUCAGCCAUCUGUUCAGUCACCCAGAAACAAGUCAAGUCAAAGCUCCCAGUGAGUUCCUGCCUCAGCCAUUUGGUGUCACAAGGAAAGCCAGGGCGUUGCCACUUCCUGAUUUGGGACAAGAUGUGUAAAUGCAUUGAGCCUCAGACUCCUUAUCUGUAGAACUUGGGGUAAUGAUAACUACUUCAUGGUGUUUUAAGAAUUCCAUGGAAUCACAGAUGGAAAGAGCCUAGAUGUACUAUGCCUGACUCGUUGGAGACUUCACAUAAAAGGGUUUUCAGCUGCUGCCACCCCCAUCUUUUAAGUAUUUUCACAAUUCCAUACACCUGUUCCUGGCAAAAAGAAUUUCAUUCCCUGUUCACUUACUUGAAAACCCCUCUUCUUUUUUUUCGAGAGAGAGGGUCUCACUGUGUUGCCCAGGCUGGAGUGCAAUGGCCAAAUCUCAGCUCACUGCAGCCUCAACCUCCCAAGUAGAUGGGACUACAGAUGUGCACCACCAUGCCUGGCUAAUUUUAUUUUUUGUGAGACGAGGUCUCACUGUUGCCUAGGCUGGUCUCGAAUUCCUGGACUCCAGCAAUCCUCCCGCCUUGGCCUCCCAAAGUGCCAGGAUUAAGGCACGAGCCACCACGCCCAGCCUGAAAACCCGUUUUCCUGAGGGAAAACUGUUCUGGAAGUCAACAGCAGAGUCGCUUGCCAGGGCCACUUCUAAUAUUGAUGAGAUUCUGGCCUGUGCUCCCCUCCCUCAUAUCUUGUGUAGCAUUGUGACUAGAGAUUGGGUAAAAAGGGAAGACCUUGCCAAAUGUUGCCCACCUGCUACCCUCUCCGGCUGUCUGCUGACGUUGGCCACUUGAGUCUCUUGUCACUGACUGUGCCCACCCUUGGCCCCUGCCAGCAUCCUCCACACACCUUGCCCACAGGAGGACAGCUGGAGCAGGGCCACAGGGGAGGGCAUGCAAGGGACCUAUCUGACAAGGCCCUGAAACUUCCUUCCCACUGAGGACCCCAGGACUUGACCUAGUCAUCCCCCACUUUGCUGCCAAUACUUUGGGAGCAGGCAGAUGUCCAGGAAGCGUCUGUUCCUCUGUACCCUCCCUGCCAAGGAAGGAGCUUGAGAAAAAUCUCUUGAAGGUAGAGCCCCUGCUUCUGGCCUAGCUCUCCCGGAGGCGCAGGGCUGACGAGUGCCGCCAAGGUAAGACCAGCUCUGGAGUGUGGGAUAUACAGGCCUUCAGUGGCAACACCUGCUCAUUAAUCAAGCCCUUCCUUUCCGGAACCUGCCCUGGCUUGGGAUGGUGGGAAGGAAGGAGAACAGAAUCUGUUCCUCCCUUCCUGGCCCUGCGGUGAGAGGCGCUGACUAGUGUAGGUGGGUGGAGACAGGCCCAUCAGAAGGCCUGAGUGAGGCACCCUCUGUACAUGCAGCACAAGCGGGUGUGGAGUGUGGGGAAGCAUCUAAAGAUCUAGAAAAAUUUGGCAGCAAAGGAAUUUUACCCACACACUGGAGCCCUAGGCUUUGUUUCUAAAAGUUUUUAUUAUUCUUUAGGAAAACUUGGGAAGCACUAGUUUAUGAAAAUUUUUAGAACUUCAUUGCUACAUGGCCUUUCCAAACACAUCCCCAGAUGGUUUCUUUAAAACCAUGCAGUGGGACAAGGUUGAUAUAAACAGUUGUUCCAGCUGAAUCCAACUCACCAAAACGGUGCAGGUGAGGCAAAUUACUUUUGAGACUGCAAGUACUGUAUAUGUCCAUUAACAAAAACACAGUAAAAGACUUUAAGAAAUUGUAAGGACACUGGCUUGACUGAUUCAUGCGGCUGCAAAUCCCUGGGAGCCAAGAUUCAAAGGCAGAAAUGUCUGUGGUGACAGCACCACCACUGCCUUUGUCCAAAUUACAGAUCUGUCACACUCAGAGCUUGCUGCUAGCAUGGGGCUGCCGUCGGCAGCAAAGGGAACUUCAUGGAUCUGUGAGGAGGAACAGCUGAGUUCCUGACUGCCUUUAAUUUUCUCUGAGGCUUUGCUGAGUCACCUAAUCUCUUGGGGCUGUGGUUUUCUCACCUGUAGAAGGAGGGACAGGGCUGAUAUCCCUAGAGUGCCUUUCAGCUCUGGGAUUCACGCAUUCUAAGGAGGGUGGCUAGAGCACAGAACCUCUAAAGAUGUUCAUUCAUUCCUUCAACAAAGUUUACAUGAGCACCUGCCAUGUGCUAAGCACCAGGGCCGACCACUGGCCCAAAAACACAGGCAUCUGCUGGCCUGCCCACUGCAGCAGCAGCCAUACCUUUGCAGGCCGGUGGAGCCCCCCUUUCUACAGCCUGUGGAAAAAAUGGUUCUAAAUUUGCAGAUCCUCUCAUCAAAUCAGGAAGUCAAGAAACAUGAUAGAAUAGAGGAACUGGUCUCAGUUUGCACAGGCCAUCAGUUUCACAAGACAGGAAUCGAAUAUCAACAGUGGCUGAUUAUCACACUCAGGAAUUGAAAAUAAUUAGAAAAAGAGGCAAAGAUGCUGUGGCAAUCAUUGGCUGGUCCCCUUUGGUCUCCAGCACCCAUUCCCCUUUGGUUUAGUAACAGCACCCUAACUUUCCUCCCUAUAUCGUGUGAUAACAGAAGCACUCUCUCCAGGAUACCCUCCCUGAGAGACAGGCAUAUGACCUGAGCCAGCCAAUCAGACUCCUUCCCUGCAAGGAUGCACUAGGUGGACAGCAUGGUGGGAGCAUCUCUCAUCCAGGCAGGGGUGAUCUGUGGGACUGCAGUCAGUCCUGUUGCUUAGAGACCCCAGGACUGCCAUAGCUUCUGUCCUGGACUUGAUUCUCCAGGCUAACAGAGAACCUGACUGAUGCAGAUUCAGGAGAGCUGGUUUGUUUAGUUCUCAGUUCCUUUCAUGAAAUGGCUAUUAUCUCUGCUAGCUACUAUAGCAGAAAUCUGGAAAACAUGAUUUUUCUUGAUUUAUGAAAUUGUUGAUGUUUCUUCAGGAAUUUCCGCCUGCUUCUCAUAAACUGGCAGAAACUUAGAAAUGUUACAUUUCUUAAAGAGAGUCAUUGUAAUUAUUAUCUGAAUAAGAUGAUAGUGUUUUGAAUUUAACGUAAUAAACUCUAUCUCCUG
rnacentral:lncRNA from 1 species